ACAUUUUAGCAAUAAAUUUUCAAACAUAUUACCCAGACAAUGUAGCAACUGCAUGCGCGGCGGGCGGUGCGGCCGCUCGGGCCUGCCGUCACUUUAGAACAGGUGGUGGAGGAGGAGGACGUGAGACGUGAAGGUAGUCAACGCUCCGGCUUGGUCAGUCAUAAAGUUUGUGGUGGGGCAAGUGAGCAAGGAUUGAGGACGGCAAGGCAAGCUGGGUGGUCUCCACAGCCAGCCUGAUAGUAUCCACUCCACUCUCUCUUAUAUCCACCAAGGGAGGCAGUGCACCACAUCUCACACAGGAUGUGAUGCACCGGUGGCAUGGCAUCGAGGGAAACACCUCGUUGCAUCACUGCCCAGCACUUUAUUGAACACAUGAAGGUGCUCCACAGUUUCAAGAAGGGAGUGGCAUACACAUUUUGCUGCAAUCCAAUCACCAAGCUAUAGCCCAGAAACAAUGGGAAACACAAACAACAGAUGGCACAAAUGAUAGAAUGACGGCGCAACACUUCCUCUCCCCACGACAGCCAUAUGGGCAUUGAGGCCGUAGUGUGGUGUGUUGGGAGGCAGUGAUGUCAUGCUAACGGCUGGUAUCCUGCAUGCCAUGAUGGAAAAUGGUGCCCCUGGAAACGCCAAGGUUUUCCGUCAUGGCAUUAUGCUGGGGCACUCAAUCUGGAUAAUACCAUGACGAGCACUGUAUGUUUUUCACCACAUUUAUAACAUGAAUGUGUUAGAGAAAGCACCAGUGAAUCCUUUGAGGUAACUAAAACUCUUAGUUGUGAUGGAGUAAAUGUAAUUGGUAGUUACUUUCUUGUCCUUGAAAUGUGAGCAGGUAAUUUGGGCAAAAGAAAAUGAGGGGCUUGAAAGUAGCUGAAAGUUUGUUUUAAAACCAAGUUUAAGGUGAAACUUGCACAUAGAGACCCCAUGUAUGUGCACAAAUGGGGCAAGUUUCACCUUUAAAUUUGUCUAACUUUUGGCUACUUUAAAGUCCCACCCUCUU